UUUUUAGAUGAAUUGGUAAAUUGCUGAAGAAAACUGAAAAGUCUAUUAUGUCUUAAAGGAACCAGACACCUUAAAUAUUUGACACAAGUAGAGAUUUAAUGUAAUUAAUUUACAUUUGAGAAGUUGUAACCUGAGAACACUGGAUGUUUGAUAAAUGAAUGAAGGACUCCUGUGAAUCUAAAGCCUGUUGUUUUAUUUCCAGAGUAGAAACACUGCUGGGUGUUGGAGGAGUCCGGCACCACCUGACCCGCUGGCGCCUUCACCUGCAGCAGGUUCACAGCAUUCACCACAGAGAAUGACCUUCAGGGACACCGUAGAGAAACCGCUUGACUCCGUCAGGAUGGACCACAGGACUGAUUCCUCAAAAGGCAGAGAUGGAUCACAUCCACUGAACCUGGAGACAGGGUGAAGGUGUCGGUGGCAGCGACGUCGUGUCCAUCGAAGAUGAACCAGUGGAGUAGUGAACCGAGUUGAGGAUCAGAGCUUGAGAAGCUGGGUGAAGGUCUGGUGUGAAGGCGCUUCAUUUACUUCCACCCAGUCGACGAGAACUUCAUCAGUGGUGAUGGUUAGAACCAGUUUCCACCAGAGGUCGACAGACCAAAGAUGGCUCAAUCCUUCCUUGGAUGUCUGAGCGAACUCAGAUCGAGUCGUGUCCAUUGGCUCAAAACGUUUGGUUGGUUUGUUAAUGUUUAUUUCUUCCAACAGGUGGAGGACGGACG